rnacentral:tRNA from 1 species
GCCUGGGUGGCUCAGUCGGUUGAGCGUCUGAUUUGGACUUCAGCUCAGGUCAUGAUCUCAUGGUUUGUGAGUUCGAGCCCCACGUCAGGCC